rnacentral:rRNA from 1 species
UACGUAGGGGGCAAGCGUUGUCCGGAUUUAUUGGGCGUAAAGAGCGUGUAGGCGGCCUUACAGGUCAGCUGUGAAAACUCGAGGCUCAACCUCGAGACGUCGGUUGAAACCGUAUGGCUAGAGUCCGGAAGAGGAGAGUGGAAUUCCCGGUGUAGCGGUGAAAUGCGCAGAUAUCGGGAAGAACACCCGUGGCGAAGGCGGUUACCUGGAGCUUUGCUGACGCUGAUGCGCGAAAGCGUGGGGAGCGAUCCGG